rnacentral:rRNA from 1 species
AUGGGACUCUCCCUACUACAGGAACCUUGGCCUCGUCGGAAUUGGCUGCCAUUGCCAGGCCGCGACCGUGAACUGGAACAAAUUGGUAAUACCUCUCGGCGGGCUCCUCCUCGCUCUCAGCGCCGUCUACCUCAAUCAACCGCUUCGAAUCCCAGUGGUCGCAGAUGCGAAGGCUUGACAUGCUGCUCCUCAAGAUCGCGCGGGCGCGGAGAGCUCCGUCCUUCUCCUCCACCAGCAGGUGCCCGCGUUGCAGGGCGUGCGGCAACGGGAAGCGCCUGGGCUGCUUCACGUUGUAGACCUCGUGCGCCACGGCGUCGAUGUUGCGCCACCAGCAGCCGCCCUCUACCUCCACCUCGCCGAACCACCUUAUUCGCAGGACACACAUCUCCACCAACGACGGCGAGUGCCGGCAGGGAAACAGGCUAUGGGCCUGCAGCCGGCGACGCUUCGACGUGA